AUUGCCUAACAUGUGCCAGAA
rnacentral:miRNA from 1 species